rnacentral:tRNA from 1 species
CGGGGCGUGGCUCAGCCUGGUAGAGCACCGCGUUCGGGACGCGGGGGUCGGAGGUUCAAAUCCUCUCGCCCCGACCA